CUGCACGCUCUGCUUCGAGGUGCCCGCGUCGUGUGCGGGAGAAUCGGGAAGGCGGUUCGAAUCCGCCGCGCGCCCAGCGCCGUAACGGGGAUUGUCCGGGCAAGGCCAUGUCCAGCCACUGGUCCGCGAGGACCGGGAAGGCGCCCGGACGAGACGAUCCGCAGCCGGAAGACCGGCCCCGAAGCGUUUUAUGCA
rnacentral:ncRNA from 1 species